CAAGACAUAAUCUCCACUCUCAAGACGCGAUAUCUUUUCUACCGCAACUUCAGCCAUAUCAGAAUUUCUGUACGUUCUGCAAGCACUAAGGAAUGCCCUCCAUAUGACAACAUCAGGUUCCACCAGCAUCCUCUUGAUUAGAUCAAAAGCUUCUUCGAGAAGACCAGCUCGGCCCAAAAGAUCAACCAUUGCUCCAUAAUGCUCUAUUUGUGGAUGGACCAAGUAAUGGGUUUCCAUCAGAUCAAAAAAUUUGCGACCUUGCUCCACCAAACCUGAGUGACUACAUGCUGUCAAAAUUCCUAUAAAUGUGAUAGCAUCUGGUGGAAUAUUUUUCUCUUCCAUCAUUGUAAAUAUCGCAAUUGCAUCAGAAGCAAGCCCAUGAACUGCAAAUCCAUUAAUCAUAGAAUUCCAAACAGAAACAUCUUCUUUCUGAACAGAGUCAAAGAUUGCCUUGGCUUCCUCAAUUCGUCCACAUUUUGAAUACAUAUCUAUCAGUGCAGAAGAUAAAAUGUAAUUGAGUUCAAUUUUUCUCUCAAUCAUCAGGCUAUGAAUCCACUUAGCAUGACCAAGAGCUCCAGUUCGUGCACACCCAGUUAUAAUAGAUGCAAAUGUAAAUCCAUCAGGCUCAUAUUCCGACCGCAACAUUUUCCGAAAAUAACUAAAUCCCUCCUCAUAACGCGCAUUUUUAACACAACCUCCAAUAAUUGAAUUCCACGACACCAAAUCUCGGGUGUGCAUUUUCUCAAAUACCUUCUUAGCAACAUCAGCCUCCCCCAUCUUCAUAAAUCUCGCAAUCAUCAAAUUGGAGUCAACAAGACCAAAAUCCAAACAAUGUACUUCACUAAACAAUCUCUUUGCAAGAAUAGGUUCAUCACAAGAUAUAUAAGCGGACACGAGUAACGAAACGAGCGACGGGUAAUUUCCAUACCCAAGUUUUAUGAUGCUAGAAUGUGUUCUGUUAGUAUUUAUCGAGUUAGGAGAGAGUCUGCAUUCUUGAAGAACACUAAAAAGUGUCCCAUAAUCUAUAAAAUUACAAAAACAAAAACAAAAAAAAACAUGAAAUCACCAUCCAACAUGAAGAAGCUAAAGUUAUAGCAGAACAUAAAAUCAAGAAACUGGGUAAUUAAUCAUUUCAUGCAAAUAUAGAAGAGUAAAAAUUAAUUAACAAUUAGUCAGGNUAAAGGUUUCCCGUAAAAAAAAAUAUAAUGUGCGAACUGAUUACACAUGAACUUUCCAAGUUUCUCUCUUCAACUUUGAUUAGUAAUAACUGAUGUAUAACAAAGUGUAGCUUUAUGAUACUAGCAUACCAAAGUACUAACCAAAAAACAAGAUUCACAGUGACAUUGAUCGAUAUAAGCACACAUGUAAAUAUUCUAUGCUGUUGAACUAAAAAGUGUUUUCCUACUAUGAUUUUUAUUUAGCUAAUGCAUCCACAGUUUCUUAUGAUCUAAUCUUGAACAAACAAACAAAGGCGGGGAUAGCAUUGCUAGGAACUGUCUAAUCAAAACAUCGACCACCACAUAAGAAAAAUAGCUACAAAAUUUCAGUAAGAAUCCAGUUUCUAAAGAAGUCCAGAUUACUAGCUCUAAUUGCUAAGAAUAGUUAAUCUUGUAGCUACUGGUCUUUCAUAAUACCCUUUUUCAACAAUUGUUUAUAAUCUAACAGACUUGCACUUUAUUCAAAUAAAAAAGCUACUUGGUUUAAGUAUAUGUAUAUGCUUCAUCAAAUAUGUGCAGAAGUCUAAAGCAACUAAUAGUCAAAUAGAGCUUUGGCUUUAGAAACAUAACCGUACUUAUGUAGACACCUUGCAAUGUUCAACUUAAGCUGAGAAGUAUAUUAGAAUUUUGCAACAGGGCAUCCCAUUUCUUUCACAAAGCAUGGUAUCGGCAUCACAUCCUUCAUGUAGCAACAUGAAAAACUUACAAGUUAUCUCCAGCUCUACCAGGUAGGCUUUUAAUAAUGACUACCAAAAAUCUCCGCAAGUACAUAAACCACCUUCAAACCUGUGAAAGCGGAUCCGGUCCCUCACAAUUAUGACCCUAUUUAAUAUUCGAGAUACAAUCUUCAUCCAAUAGUGGCAAUCAAUACAAGUCCGAAGAUUCUUUGAAACUUGAAUCUCAGUUCUUGGACUUGAUUUAAGUAUAGCAUAGGCUACUGCUAACUUCUCACUAUGAUAAUUGAGAUUUUGCUCCUUCUCCUCUUCAGAAAUAUCCAUUAAAACAAGCUCUGUGCUAGACAUAAAUCCCUCCAUUCUGGUUCGAGAAAUCAAUUUUUCCAGAACCUUGUAUAUUUCUACAGUCUCAGGGUGUGAAUGAUCUCCGGACUUGAAGUGGUGAAUUAAUCCGCCAGUUUCGACCCAACUCUUUCCACUACCUUUGUGAACCCCCUUCUGUUUCAUCCCAUCUCUCACUCUUGCCGCACUAUCCCAUUGUCUCAAUGAGCUAUAGGUGUUAGAUAGCAAGACAUAAUCUCCACUCUCAAGACGCGAUAUCUUUUCUACCGCAACUUCAGCCAUAUCAGAAUUUCUGUACGUUCUGCAAGCACUAAGGAAUGCCCUCCAUAUGACAACAUCAGGUUCCACCAGCAUCCUCUUGAUUAGAUCAAAAGCUUCUUCGAGAAGACCAGCUCGGCCCAAAAGAUCAACCAUUGCUCCAUAAUGCUCUAUUUGUGGAUGGACCAAGU
rnacentral:lncRNA from 1 species